AUGCCAUCCAGCCAUCUCAUCCUCUGUCGUUCCCUUCUCCUCCUACCCCCAAUCCCUCCCAGCAUCAGAGUCUUUUCCAGUGAGUCAGCUCUUCACAUGAGGUGGCCUGAGUACUGGAGUUUCAGCUUUAGCAUCAGUCCUUCCAAAGAAAUCCCAGGGCUGAUCUUCAGAAUGGACUGGUUGGAUCUCCUUGCAGUCCAAGGGACCCUCAAGAGUCUUCUCCAACACCACAGCUCAAAAGCAUCAAUUCUUUGGUGCUCAGCCUCCUUCACAGUCCAACUCUCACAUCCAUACAUGACCACAGGAAAAACCAUAGCCUUGACCAGACGGACCUUAGUCGGCAAAGUAACGUCUCUGCUUUUGCAUAUGCUGUCCAGGUUGGUCACCCAGCUAACAAAUCCCCACCCUUCUUUCCCCUUACCCCUUGGCAGUCACCCUUUCUGCUUGCUGUUUAAGAAUCUGACUACUACAGGUUGCUGCGGUUCAGUCACUAGGUUGUGCCCAACUCUUUGUGACCCCUAGACUGCAGCACACCAGGCUUCUCUGCCCUCCACUAUCUCCUGGAGUCUGCUCAAACUCAUGCCAUACAGCUAUCUCAUCCUGUGUCAUCCCCUUCUCCUCCUGCCUUCCAUCUUUCCCAGCGCACAUAGAGAGUGAAAGUGAGGGGCUGGAAAAAAUAUUCCAUGCGAAUGGAACUCAAAAGAAAGACUGAGUAGCAGUACUCACAUCAGACAAAGCAGACUUUAAAGAUUAUCAUAAGUGAUAAUAAAUUAAAGACCCUUGCUCCUUGGAAGAAAAGCUAUGGCAAACCUGUGCUGUGCUUUAGUUGCUCAGCCAUGUCUGACUCUUUGCGACCCCACGGACUGUAGCCAGCCAGGCUCCUCAGUCCAUGGGGAUUCUCCUGGCAAGAAUACUGGAGUGGGUUAGCACACCCUCCUCCAAGGGUAUGGCAAAUGUAGACAGUGUAGUAAAAAGCUGAGACAUCACUUUACCGACAAAGGUCUGUCUACUCAAAUGCACCGUUUCUCCAGUAGUCAUGUAUGGAUGUGAAAGUUGGACCAUAAAGAAGGGUGAUUCAAGAUGGAGUUUGAAAGACAGGAGUGAUUGUGGCCUGAACAAUUAAAGGAUGGAGUCACAGCAGGGGAGCUGGGGAAGACCGUGGUGGAGCACGUUUGUGGGGGGAGGUCAAGAAUGCCCCUCUGGACAUGCGAGUGUGACUCUAUCAGAGGUUCAAGUGGGGAUGCUAAGAAGUUGUUGGCUAAGAGUCUGAAGCUCAGGAGAAAGCUCUGGCCUUGAACUACAGCUUUAGAGUUCUUUCUCAGGGUAAAGAUGGUAUUUAAAGCCUCAAGCCUUGAAGAAGGGCUUCCCAAGUGGAGCUAAUAGUAAAGAACCCACCUGUCAAUGCAGGAGACAUAAAAAACAUGGGAGUGAUCCCUGGGUCAGUACUGUUCUCUGGAGGAGGGCAUGGCAACCCACUCCAGUAUUCCUGCCUGGAGAAUUCCAUGGACAGAGGAGCCUCGGGGGUAUAGUCCACAGAGUCAGACACGACUGAAGCAACUUCGCACAGCACAGACUGGAUGAGAAGGGGAGGCGGUAUAGCUAAGUAAGAGAGACCCAAGGGCUGAGCUGCGGGGCUGCGAGGAAGACAACGCAGCCUUUGCAGGGCGGGGCUGAAAACACGCAGGAAGCAAAGAGGGGUGACUGGGGAGUUAUCUGAAGCUGUCCUUCUUCAGAUUAGAAUCAGAAUGGAGUCCCAUUAAUGGUGGUCAAGGAGUCUGUGUUCCUCAACUCCAAUCCUGCCUGCCUGCCUCCAGCUGUGUGUAAUCCGAGUGUUCUGGUGCGCCCGCCUCUCGCUGCUCAUUCCAUGCUUCUGCACUCUCACCACCACCCUCACUCUCAUAAAGGUUUGGUCAUUCAUUCAACAAAUGUUUGCUGAAAUGUUUUUGUAUGCUCCAGGCCCUGGUGGAGGCACUGAGUGAGCAAGCUGAACAAAGCCUGUGCCCCUGUGCAGCUCAUUCUCCAAGGCCGUGGGCAGAUUAACAGUCAAUCAACAGACAGACAGACAAGAGCAUUUCUAACCCUGCUCUGGUUAAGGGGAUCAGGAAAAGUCUCUUCCAGGAGAUGCCAUCUGAGCUGUGCGAGUGCUGAACAGAUGAUGAUCGUCCCAUCUGGGGGACAAGGAUCCGGCUGGAGGGACACAGAAGGCCAGCGUGCUGCCAUGGUGAGGGGCGGUCCCAGGAGCUCCCAGACUGCUGUUAGGGAUCUGAUUUUAUUCUAAGGUGUUGGGGACACCUUCCUGGCGACUGAGGAGUCAGGUGAUAAAUUAACAUCGCACAGACCUCGCUGGGUUGGUGGGUCAGAUGGAGAAGAGACUGUCAGGGGCAAGGCAGAGGCAGGGAGAGGAGUUUGUAGGGUUUUCUAGUUCAGGUCACAGUCUUGGAGGAGGACUGGCCAGACGCACCUUGGACUGGAUGAAUGGGUGCAACAGUCGCCAACAUCGCUCUUCUCUGGGUCCAGGCCCACACCGGGCCAAGAAAAGUGCCUACUCAAGAAAUGCUGGUCCAGGCACAGUUGUUGCCCUCGGCUUACUGAGUGCUGAAUUAUAGGAAACUCAGACCACACAUAUAAACGUCCCGGGUAAACACAGGGCAAGCAAUAAAUCAGUGCACAGGAGUGGGUAGCCAGGUGCAGAAGAGUGACGGGCUACCCUGUGGAGAGGAGUCUUUGGAGCCUUCUCUAGCCCAGAGAGACAGUCCAUUUCCCAGCGGGCAGGGGCUAGAGGGUCGUGAGCAGCGCGGCCUCCGCUCCUCUGGUCAACGCCCCUCCCGGCAGCAGGGACGGUGGGGGUUGGAUUGUCUAAGAACCUGGCUCCAGGCUCCAGUUUCCCAACUCUGUCGGAGCUCAGAGAAGCGGUGACUCAGGGGAGGCCGGCCUGGAGUGACUCAUUACCUCGCUCCCUCCCUCACUGCUGACCCCGGGCCAAUCUCUUAAUGAGUCUACACCCCACUCUUCUCUUUUGGCCGGGACGAUUGCCUGGUGGAGUUUUUAAUUCCCCGGGGGCAGGGCUCAAGUCAGCAACCGUCCAGGUUCCUCGAGAGAGGCUUCUCCUAGGGUCUGGAGGAGCGGAAAAGUUGGGUGGACCCCAAAGCCCCUGGCGCUCCCCGUGCACUGAACGGGGCGUUUAAUGCCUGUGCAUUCUUCUAAUUUCAGAGCCUUUCAACAGCAUUCACACAGAAUACAAUUUCGCAAGUCUCGAUGUCCUGGAGGAUUUUCCCUUUGUAAAAAUCUGCUUGGGGGUGGGGAGGAGCAAUCUGAGUCUCCAAAGUCUGCAAAGCACAGCCUAGAGGCAAUGAAUGAGAGCUCCGCAGACUGACCUACGCUCCCCGGGGCAAGGGGCCCGCUGCGCGAGGGCGCCGGCCGGUGCUUGGCCCACCCGCGCCACGGAAUGCGGGCGGAGGGCGCGGGGGACCGUCUCGCCGCCCCGCGAGGGGCCCUCGGGCAGCAGCCGGGGUGCGGGCGUGGGCGGCGGGGUCGCUAGCCCGGGUCUCGGCCGGGCGUAAUAACUUCGUAUAGCAUACAUUAUACGAAGUUAUACGAUAUGUCAAUUCCACGUUAGUUUUGGAUGUUCUUGAUAAAACAUGAAGGUGUUUCUGUCACAGAGUAGUCAUCAGCAGCCACCAUCUCUUAGUGCCUCAGUUGCUGACA
ensembl:lincRNA